UACGUAGGGUGCAAGCGUUGUCCGGAAUUACUGGGUGUAAAGGGAGCGCAGGCGGGAAGACAAGUUGGAAGUGAAAACCAUGGGCUCAACCCAUGAAUUGCUUUCAAAACUGUUUUUCUUGAGUAGUGCAGAGGUAGAUGGAAUUCCCGGUGUAGCGGUGGAAUGCGUAGAUAUCGGGAGGAACACCAGUGGCGAAGGCGGUCUACUGGGCACCAACUGACGCUGAGGCUCGAAAGCAUGGGUAGCAAACAGG
rnacentral:rRNA from 1 species